rnacentral:rRNA from 1 species
GACGAACGCUGGCGGCGUGCUUAACACAUGCAAGUCGAACGGAAAGGCCCUGCUUGCCGGGUACUCGAGUGGCGAACGGGUGAGUAACACGUGGGUGAACUGCCCUGCACUUCGGGAUAAGCCUGGGAAACUGGGUCUAAUACCGGAUAGGAGCCAUUUUUAGUGUGAUGGUUGGAAAGUUUUUCGGUGUAGGAUGAGCUCGCGGCCUAUCAGCUUGUUGGUGGGGUAAUGGCCUACCAAGGCGGCGACGGGUAGCCGGCCUGAGAGGGUGGACGGCCACAUUGGGACUGAGAUACGGCCCAGACUCCUACAGGAGGCAGCAGUGGGGAAGAUUGCACAAUGGGCGCAAGCCUGAUGCAGCGACGCCGCGUGGGGGAUGACGGCCUUCGGGUUGUAAACUCCUUUCGCUAGGGACGAAGCUUUUUGUGACGGUACCUAGAUAAGAAGCACCGGCUAACUACGUG